rnacentral:rRNA from 1 species
UACGUAGGGUGCGAGCGUUGCCCGGAUUUAUUGGGCGUAAAGGGCGCGUAGGCGGCUCGGCACGUCCGUUGUGAAAUCGCCCGGCUCAACUGGGCGGGGUCGGCGGAUACGGCCGAGAUGGAGCAAGCUAGGGGGUAAUGGAAUUCCCGGUGUAGUGGUGGAAUGCGUAGAUAUCGGGAGGAACACCAGUGGCGAAGGCGGUUACCUGGAGCUUUGCUGACGCUGAUGCGCGAAAGCGUGGGGAGCGAUCCGG